GUGCCAGCAGCCGCGGUAAUACGUAGGUGGCAAGCGUUGUCCGGAAUUAUUGGGCGUAAAGGGCUCGCAGGCGGUUUUUUAAGUCUGAUGUGAAAGCCCCCGGCUCAACCGGGGAGGGUUAUUGGAAACUGGGAAACUUGAGUGCAGAAGAGGAGAGUGGAAUUCCACGUGUAGCGGUGAAAUGCGUAGAGAUGUGGAGGAACACCAGUGGCGAAGGCGACUCUCUGGUCUGUAACUGACGCUGAGGAGCGAAAGCGUGGGGAGCGAACAGGAUUAGAUACCCUGGUAGUCCACGCCGUAAA
rnacentral:rRNA from 2 species